rnacentral:lncRNA from 1 species
GAGAAAGAGGAGGGGCCAGAUCACCCUAUAACAACCCUCUCACAAGAACUCACCAGCAAACCUGCGAAGUGCAUCAGUUUUCCACUGCCCUCUCCUCAAUGACCUAAAUAUUCUCCCCAGUGACUUGCUCUGAAGGCUGCUAUGCCACUUCUCCAUGCCCGCACGAGAACCAAUCUUGCAAUACGCGAUCCUCAGAGACCAACAAUAUCCACACCAUAGCACUCCAGCUGGACCUCAUAACACAAUCGGAUCUCUCUCCUGAGGCAUCUACAACAACUGGUGAAAAGACAAACAUGAGAAAACCUUCCCUGAGACCCACCUGUAACUAAGAACAGUGAUUCAAAGUCUUUAGGGCCAGGAAUUAGGGCUUUUGAAGUUUCCUGAGAGAUUCCAGCAUAUAGCAGAGUUGAGAAACAUGAGUCCGUGUGUUUAUCCAUGAAUUUAUGCAUAUUGCUUUAUUGAUUUGAAUUGAAGACUAAAAGGAUCAAAAUAAGCAAUGAUAGAAAUUUACAAUAAAGCACACCAUCUCAGCAUUUUAAAUGCAUUUUUGUAUGUAAUAAGACAAAAAAUAAUAAAAUCAACC